ensembl:lncRNA
GUGAGUUGCCGCUCCGUUCCGCGCUUCUUUUGUCUCUCUGCGAGCGCGCCCCGCCCCGCCAAACUUUCGCCGGGGACCUCGGAGCCCCGACGCCUACCGCACGCCGGGUCGGGGCCGGGCAGGGCAGGGCUGGGGGCGGCCGCGGGUUGCGGGCAGUGCCCGGUGGGGUUGGGGGCGGCGUACCCGUGGGGGCGUCCGGGGGCAGGUGAGGGGGCGCGGGUCCUUAUCCUUCGGUUUCUUCGGGACGGAUGCUGUCGGCCCCUGCUUCGCGCUUUACGCAACAGGUAGGGAUGCCAGAGGCCGGCCGCGGCACGGGGCUUUGGGGGGCUCCUUGGCUCUUUUCUCGGCAAAUGUACGAAGGGGAGGGGGGAGGAGAUGCAACAGUCUUCCCAAAUUCCCCUCCAGUUGUUUAUUUAUGUACUUCCCGUGUCCAUGUAUAAAGGGUUCGUUUCGCAACUCCGGAGGUUUUCUUUCUUCUCUCCCUUUUUUUUUUUAUUUUUUUUCUUUCUUUCCUUUUUCUUCUCCCAAACUUGUUUUCCUUUACGGCCCGCGUUUGCCCGUCUCAUUCUGUGCGCUUCGACUAACCGAUACCCAGAGGCUGUCCUCACUGACAGUCGGGGGAAUCCAAACAAAGAGCUCAUCUUCGGCAACUUUAUCCGGAGAGAUCGAGGCAACUUUCUCCCAUCUCUCCCGCCUCUUCAAAGCGGUCAGCCUCGCUGUAGGCUCGUGAGGAAACCGGGGUUCGCAGUGUAAAGAAAGCAGAAGGUCAAAACAUGGCUGUCCAAAGAAUGGGAUGCUUGCCAAAACAUCAAUCUGUGCUGAGUGCCAUACUCAUUAUCCUUCCAGUGGUGGAUUACAACUCGGGUCUCCUCAGGAGGUGACUGAUGUGGAACAAACUGUACGACUGUCUUUGCUGUUUGGAUACGUGUGUAAGUUAACGGGCUACUGGGAGAAGAUGAAGAGGCUUUUGCAGAAAAAUGAGGAUAUCAUGGGAAGUGCUGCUGCUAACCAUUUGGAUUAUAUUGCUGUCUGACACAGAAGUUCUGCAGAUUACGUAAGACUAGGAGCCACAGAGCAGUGAGGAUUUAUGCAUCUGGAAUAGAACUAUGAAUGGGAUUGCAGGAUUUACAUGGAGGACUCUGAAAUCCCUCACUUCCUGCUCCAGGAAGGGGCUGUCCGCAUAUACAGAGGUGCAGCACAGCCCCUGGCUCUCAAUACAACCUUCAGAUGAAGGAGGAAAAAUAACAGUUCCAGGCAUUGUAAAAGAGGACCUUCUUCUCUGAUGAGGACAUUGCUGAGUUUAACUAGCAGAAGGUAGUAUCUUUACAUCACUACAUGAUGCAGAUGGAUCACUCUUUGCCAGCUGCCAAAUCAAAUAUUGCUGUACAGUCUCUACCUUCAGCAACAUCCUCAGUGUUCUGGUGGUGGGUCCCUUGAAAGGAUGGGGCAGAACAGACUUCAUGCCACCCCUGUACUUCAAGCUCUCUGCUCUGCAUGAAGCUGCACUGUUCAGAAGAAGCAAGAUUCUUUCCUCACAGCUACGGCACUGCGACACAGCCUGCUUUUUCGCAUUUACCUGGGUGGCUGCUGCUGGUUCUGCUGCUGCUGCUGCAGCCUCGCUGCCUGCGCUUCACCCCAGCUUGGCUGAUGCGAGCCUCCCUCGUCUGCACAUUGCUAAGGAAGAGAAGCGAUGGAGCCGCAAUUUUUUUGUUGGUUCUGGAAGCAAAGGGUUGUGAUGUGGGGUUGUUUGGGGGUUUUCUUUUUUUUUUUUUUUUUUGGUGGGGAGAGAAAGGAGGGAUGUUAAUCUAGGGUGGAGUGGGUAAAAGCUUAAAGAAAUAUGAUGAAAAGUAAUCCAGUGCUCAACAAGGGCAUCAGCAGCAAGAAUCCAGCCUCUGCUGCUCCAGAGGAUUAAGAUGGGGAAAGCCACAGAACUGCAGUCGAGUUGCACCUCAGCGUUGUUCUGGAGAUGGAUAAACAAGGACAUGAUGUGGCCUGCUGCUACUUUCUGCUUGCCUGAUUGCCUGCUAAAGUCCAUUCCUCUUGGCACUGCUUACACCAGCUCCAGCUGCUCCACGUUGCUUUACAGUAUCAACAUCUACCUCCUCAAAUUUGGAAGACUGGUCACCCUUUGUAGUACUGCUGUGUGGAUGAAUCUUAAUCUUCUUGAAAGUAGGAUAUUAAAGAUGAGAUAAGCCCUGGUAUCUAGAAGUAGUAUAUACUGCAGUCCUAUGAGACACAUAGAUAGAUAGCCAGAUAUAAUCUUUCUCCACUGGAUAUCUUGUCCUUAGAACUAUUACCCUGGAAACACUCCUUAAUAUUUCAAAUCACAUACCCCUUUUCUUAGGUAUAUUCUAUUUAUCAGACAUAGCCUAGCUACAGAAUGGCCAAUGCUGUUGAGCUCUCAGUCUUUGUAAAAAUGGAUUUUCAUCUUUUGUACAAGCUUGUAUUUUGCUAAACAAUUAAAUAAAAACAAAACACAACAAAACAAAACCUUGUAAAUACCAACCUGUUAGGACUGAUCUGUCUAUCGAUCAAUGAAGUGUUAAAAUCCACCACAGGAACUAGUCCCAGUACGACUUGAUACUUCACUCUGAAGCAGAAGUACUUUCAAAAACACAAAUAUCUGGUUUAUUCCCAAAAGCUCUUUUUUCUGGGUCAAUCCCAUGUUUCUUAAAUACUGUCAUGACAUUGAGGGGAAAGCUGUGUGCAUGUGAGAAGUCGGAAGCUUUGACACAUUAGGCAAACAAGAAGUCAGUUUAGUAUUGUGCAUUAAUGAAAGAGAAUGAAAAUAAAAAUCAGCUGAAAGCAAAUCCCACCUGCAAACCACUUCAGCAAGGUGUAUGAAGCAAAGGACAUCUGUGACCACAAUGUCAUACACUGAGGCAUUAUGGCUUCACACUGCAAUCUGCCUCUGAGCAGUCAUUUGAUAACACUGCAAUCCAGGAAUGCAGCUGUUCCUUUCUGCAAAUUUAAUGAUCCACAUAUCUUAAAAGGCAUUUUCUUUCAUAUUUUUUUAUUUACUUCUUUUGUGUUAUGUUUUGUAUCAGUGAAGAUAGAACAUUACACAGUCAUCAGGGAAAUUAUGUUUUUCCUUUUUUUUUUUUUUUUGAUCAUUCAAGACUUAUAUUCACAGUAAUGAGGCUUCCAGGUUUGUGCGGCUGUGAGAUGAACUGCAUUUUGCAUCACUGUCUUCACCUUCAUGUCUGGGGUUGUUGCCUUCACCUUCCUCCUGAUACUAGCCCUGAGGCACAUGUUAUCUCAUAUCCACAUGCAUUCUGUCAUGUCUCACUCUUUGAAUGAAUACAAAAACAUUUUGAGAAAAUGGAAAAUGGAGGGCUGGAUUGAAUUUUGUAGAUAUGCAUGUAGGAGACACUGCAUGCAGAUUCCCACAUUCCUGCCUCCGGGUGGUGGCUGUAGGAAGCAACUGCCUUGACAUUUCUGUCUUUCUUUUGUGGAAACCUUAUGCAGCCUUGUUCAAUCACACAAUCACAGAAAAUCACAUUCACUGGUGUUGGAAGGGCCCUCAAGCAAUCAUCAAGUCCAACGCCUCCGCUAAAGCAGAUACCCUACAAUAUGUCUCACAGGUAGCUCUCCAGGCAGGUCUCUAAUGUCUCCAUAGAAGGAGCCUCCACAACCUCCCUGGACAUCUCUGUUCCAAUGCUGUGUCACCUUUGCCAUAAAGAAGUUCUUCUGCAUGUUAGUACGAAGCUUCAUAUGCUCAAGUUCAAGUUUGUUUAUGUAUUACCUCUUGUUUGCAACUCCACAUUCAGCUCCAACUCUAAGGGAAGGAUGACAAGUUCAGUCUAACAUAGCAAACAUAGCAUGGAUUCAGCAACAAGACAACUUGGAUGGGCUUCAGUUGGAUUCACUGAAAACUGAACAGCAAUGCUGUAAGAGGUUGGACUUCUGCUCCAAAAUUUCUGUUUUCCCUCUGGGCAUGUUAGGAUAAGAAUAUUCUGCUCUUUGCAAGAAUUUGGAUGAAUCUCAGUAUAUAGUGCUUUUCUUUACAUGUUCUGUGUUUAGAAAAACCUUUUUAAAAUACUGAAUGUAUAUUAUUAUUGUACGAUGUUAUCUCUACAAUAGGUUUGUACUUUGAACUACUGGUUAGAAAACUUCUUAAAUAACUAUUAAUAAUGAAUCAGCCAGAUUUAGAGUCAAGGGCCAAAUUCUUUUAUUUUGAACUCUGACUAUAUUGACUAAAAAUCAUUUCUAUUUAAAAGAUCCCUGCAGGGACCUUCACUGUGGACUGUUUCUCAAGGCUUGAUUUGCAUAUCACCAAGACCUAUCUUCUCCUAUUUUUCCCCGAGAUGUUAUCUCUGCAAUAUCUUUCUUCUGUACCUCCUGGCAACUUUAUAGACUGCUCUCCUAUGGCAUGCUAAUAUCAUUGCCACUAGCCAAAAGAAUUUGCACAAGACAAAGGUGGAUAAUCCUAGGUUACAGUUUCAUUUGAUAAUCAAUAUGGAGAACAACCUCAGUGUUGAACCUCAUGUAGGUAGUAAAUCCAGCCAUAGUGAAGCAUGUACAUAGUUUGCUCUAGAAGUAAUGCCUCCUAUUUGUUUCCAUGAAAACUACGACAUAUAGAAAUAAUGUUUAAAGAAAAGGUGUGCUUUACGUUACUCCAUGUGGAAAAAUUUCACCUAUUGACAUUCAUCAGUGCUUACUGAACGUUUAGGGAGACUAAGAAGUGAGUAUGAACACAGUGGUGGGUAGUGCAUUUCAACAGUAGCAACAGAAACGGUGGGUCACCUAUGCUGGUGCAGAUUUUUAUGACUAUGGCAUGUAAUUUCUUGUUCAUCACAGUAAAAAUGCAUAUCUCAUGGUGGUGAUUAUGUUGAAAAAUAGUGUUUUGUAGCCGAGAAUCUGCUCUGUCAAAUAGUGUUAUUGUGCUCUUUGUAUCCAUUGUAGUUUCCAUGGAAAUAAGUAGGAGGAAUUACUUUCAGAGCAAGCAAUAUACAUAAAGCACCCCAUUGAAUUCAAUAGGAAUAUUGACAUAAGGAAGGAAUGUAGGGCUAAGCCUUUGAUUCCUGUAGAAUUCUUCUUUAACCAAACAAAAUAUUAUUCUGUGUUUGGAUUAUGUUCAAUUAGAACUUAGAAAUUAUUGUUUGUCUGUGAGAUGCCAUUCACAUGACUAUCUUCUCAUAAGUGAUUUAUACUACAUGCUCUUAGGACUAUGUCAUGUGAAAAGUGAAAUAUUUAGAUAGCCAAAUAUCUGACACAAAAGUAUAUGACAAUCACACACACACAACUGAAAGUCCAAGAAAUCACAUCACCCAAAUUGCUCAUAUCUUUCUCUCUCACUGUUUGUGUUGGUUUCCUUUCAGUAGAUACAACUGCAGAUCUUUGGCCUGUGCCACAUGUCAAAUAAGGAUAAGAACCUUCCCCAUGGAAGUCAGUUUUCAAAUUUAAAUGGAACAGAUAUGUAAAUUUCAACACUUUCCCUACAUAAUAUACGCAUUUGAACUGCCAGAUUGUUCAGGUGUACAUGCAAGGGGUAGGUUGUACAUGCAAGAACCCAUUUAUGCUGAUGAAGAAAAUGAUGUAUGGAAAAUAAAAUACAUUUAAAGCAUGCACUGUGGCAUGUACUGACUUUACCAGAAUAAUUGAGGGAAUUAAUAUUGAAUACCCGAUCUAUGGAGACAAAAAUACUAAAUAGCCUAAUGUCACUGAGAAAGAAGCAGAGAGCAAAGGAUUUCCACAUUUUUUCUCUUACAAAAUUUUGAUGGAUUCUGAUCUUUUUUUUGUGUGUGUGUGCUGUUUUUCUCAAACCCAAUGUGAUGACAGAAAACCUUGAAUGCAGAUUUCUUAUUGUUGUGCAAUUGCUGGGGAAAUUGUAAAUAGCUGGAGUUUAGAUUUGAAAGUAUGUAACUACUCCAUUUCCAUCUGAAUUAACAUGUAAUACCUUUUUUAAUUCUGUAUUUAUCACAGGAAAUAUUUUUUGCUUGAAGUAUGUACUUCUGGGAGUGUGUUCAUUGUCCUGUGUUGUAAUAUCACUUCUGAAAGAAAUAUGUCUUUAAAUAUUAGUGUUCAGUAGGACUGUUCUUAAUCUCUGUUAUUAUAAUAAAUACUGAAUGUCAGACUUUUUCAAAGAUCCAAAUUGGAAAUGUGCUUUUUAUCUCACUAAAAUGAGUGGAAGCUCCACACGUCAUGUACAUUUCAAAGUAGAGAACUGUUAUCCCAAAUAUGCAUUGCAAGGAUAAUUGGAAAGGAUUAAUUUACUUCAUGGGGAUUUGACGGAGAUGAAUGAUCUGUUGUGCUCCCGGGAAAUUGGGAAUUUGGAAUUCUUUACUUUCAGUGGUUGAGAAUUAUCUGUGAAGUUUCUAUGCUUGAGUAGUUUUAAGUGCAUCUGUUCUUGAAGUAAUACAAAACAAAAACUCAGAUUUUCCCUGUCUGGGGUUUAUUCAUGUUACUACAGAUUUUUAAUACGAAAAUUAGAAUAUUGAAAAUAUAUUUUUCCUUUGGUUUUAAUAUUUAUACAGUAGAAAUUCUUGUUAGUGUUAAAAUGGAAUCAUAUAUCCAUUUAUGUUUUUAUAUGCAUAAGUACACCAUAGUUUAGGGUUUGAUGAAAGCCAUCUCAGUAGAAUCAGUCCUUGUUACACUUGUUUUAGAUUUGUGCUGUUUGAGGCAGAGAGAUACAGAUAGAGGAUUUAUUUUUCAGUCCUAGUAGUUAAUCAAGUUCCUGUAACAGUCAUCUAAUCCCAUGGUUUUACCCAAGUCGUUUUCUCCAUGUUACUUCUACCUUUCUUAAGCAAGGCAAGUUUCUGCCUCAACAUUCUACCUUUGACCUAUUUGACCUUGCCUAUUUCCUUUCUGCUGUACAGCGGGUCAAUAACAGUACUGAGCAAGCAAUCCUCUUUCUAGCAUAUUGCCAGCUGUACAGGAGCUGUUGUGAACUCCCUAGAAAAGCUGAGAUGUGGUGUAAUACUUACGUUCACCUGCAAUCAGCAAUUUUAUGGUGCUAUCUCUGAAAAGCAGAGGGGAUUGAGUGGAUGUGCCGUGAAAGAAUUGAUGGAAUAUCCACUUUAAUGCUCUCUUAAGAAGGAAGGAGC